GACGAACGCUGGCGGCGUGCUUAACACAUGCAAGUCGAACGGAAAGGCCCUGCUUUUGUGGGGUGCUCGAGGGGCGAACGGGUGAGUAACACGUGAGUAACCUGCCCUUGACUUUGGGAUAACUUCAGGAAACUGGGGCUAAUACCGGAUAGGAGCUCCUGCUGCAGGGUGGGGGUUGGAUAGUUUCGGCGGUUGGGGAUGGACUCGCGGCUUAUCGGCUUGUUGGUGGGGUAGUGGCUUACCAAGGCUUUGACGGGUAGCCGGCCUGGGAGGGUGACCGGCCACGUUGCGCCUGAGCUACGGCCCAGACUCGUACGGUAGGCAGCGGUGGAGAAUAUUGCACAAUGGGCUGAAGCCUGAUGCAGCACCGCCGCGUGCGGGAUGACGGCCUGCGGGUUGUGAACCGCUUCCGCUUGUGACGAAGCGUUAGUGACGGUACUGGGUGAAUAAGCACCGGCUAACUACGUG
rnacentral:rRNA from 1 species